UACAGAGGUCUCAAGCGUUGUUCGGAUUCAUUGGGCGUAAAGGGUGCGUAGGCGGCGCGGUAAGUCGGGUAUGAAAUCUCGGAGCUUAACUUCGAAACUGCAUUCGAUACUGCCGUGCUUGAGGACUGGAGAGGAGACUGGAAUUUACGGUGUAGCGGUGAAAUGCGUAGAUAUCGUAAGGAAGACCAGUGGCGAAGGCGGGUCUCUGGACAGUUCCUGACGCUGAGGCACGAAGGCCAGGGGAGCAAACAGG
rnacentral:rRNA from 1 species